AACAAUCCCAACAACAAUGCCAUCACUUUUAUCAGCAUUAUAAACAUUUUUCCUAGCACUGUCAGCACUGAUGGAUAGACUUAUGCCUCCCAAAUUCUUGACAGAUGGAGUUUCUGAGGUACGUGUCAUCCCUUCAAUAUACACAUCAGGAGAACUGGGACCAAUAUUACUGCAACUAUCAGCAGAUUGAGAACCUUCAUCAUCCUGAUAUGUUUCUGUGAUUUCACUGCUACCAUCAUUUUCAUUUUUUUUAAAUUCAGGAUUCUUUUGUGCCGAUUCAAGAGCAUCACUUUCUCCAGCUUUAACUUCCCUUUGGAGAAGAACAAGAAGAGUUUCUAUCCCCCCACAUGCUAGGAAUGCUUUUGCAAAUGAGUGAGCUCUAGCUGUAUUAGGCUGCACAACCAACCUG
rnacentral:lncRNA from 1 species